rnacentral:rRNA from 1 species
UACGUAGGCAGCAAGCGUUGUUCGGAGUUACUGGGCGUAAAGAGUGCGUAGGCGGUUCCGUAAGUUUGUUGUGAAAUCUCCCGGCUCAACUGGGAGGGUGCGCCGAAUACUGGCAUGCUCGAGUACAGGAGAGGAAAGCGGAAUUUCUGGUGUAGCGGUGAAAUGCGUAGAUAUCAGAAGGAACACCUGUGGUGUAGACGGCUUUCUGGACUGUAACUGACGCUGAGGAACGAAAGCGUGGGUAGCAAACAGG